UUUUACAUCAUUAAACUAGCAAAUAUCUCAUAUCGCCUGUUAAAAUUUGUCAAUUUUGUGAGCUUUUGAUCGUAAGGUAAAUAAUAUCAAAAUAUUAUAAAAUUUGAUUUUUAGAAGUUUUAAAUGCUCUAGAUAAUGUUUAACGGUAUAGAUCGUCGAUUCGGAAGCUCUAUCAUCAAAAACAACUUAUGAGUACGAAGGCGAUCGUACUCAUAAGAGUAUAGUAGCCGGACUCUUUCUCUCUCUCUCUCUAUAUAUAUAUAGAGAGUCUGGCUACUAUACUUUUAUAAGUAUUGGCUCCCUUAUACUCAUAAGUUUUCGGUCCUUAGAUUUAUUCCAUUGAUCAUUUCCACCCGUUAGAUCAUACUAUUCAACCAACUACUCAUUCAACCCUAGGGGACCAUUAUCAUUCUAAGUGGGGACCACCAUCAUCCUAACCACACAUUCCAUCAAUCAACGGUUAAAAAUUUAUGAGUACAAGGGGGUCUAUACUCAUAAAAGUAUAGUAGCCCCAGCAUAUAUAUAUAGAGAGAGAGAGAGAGAGAGAGAGAGAGAAAGAGAGAGAACUAGGCUGGAAUACUAUCAAUAGCACCAAACUAUUGGUACUAUUA
rnacentral:lncRNA from 1 species